rnacentral:rRNA from 1 species
UCUACUCACCAAACCCAUGUGAACUUACCUUUGUUGCUUCGGCGGGCAUCUGCCCGCCGGGGGUAUAACCAAACUCUUGAAUCUUCGUGAGAAUUCUGAAGUAAAAUGAUAAAUCAAUCAAAACUUUCAACAACGGAUCUCUUGGUUCUGGCAUCGAUGAAGAACGCAGCGAAAUGCGAUAAGUAAUGUGAAUUGCAGAAUUCAGUGAAUCAUCGAAUCUUUGAACGCACAUUGCGCCUAUUAGUAUUCUAGUAGGCAUGCCUGUUCGAGCGUCAUUUCACCCCUCAAGCUUCAUUGCUUGGUGUUGAGGCACUACCUGCCCUAGGGCGGUAAGCUUCUAAAUGCAGUGGCAAGAUCAGAACAACUCUGAGCGUAGUAAGCCUAUUAUCUCGCUUUGGCCAGUUGUCCUGAUGUUCGCCAUCAAGCCUAUUUAAUUCUGAAUAGUUGACCUCGGAUCAGGUAGGAAUACCCGC